CCUAUGAAGUCUGAACCUAUUCGCAACUGUUUCUUUGGCGCCCGAGUCACUGAGUCAGCUCGCCCGAGUGCGGAAGCCUAAACCCUUGUUCGGAAUUGGGAUUCAAGAAUCAAGACCGCAACGAUGAACGAUUCACCGCGCAGAGAUUCGGAAUCGCUCGAUUCCAUGGAUGCAGACCAGAUUGCCACUGGGAACUUCAAUAGCCCUAUCCUCCAUGGUCAACCACACGAGUUUCUCGCUCCCGUUUCCCAGGCAGGCAAGGUUUAUGUAAAGGAUGUUGCUAGUAUUUCUAGCACUGAUGUUGAUGGAGUUAGGGGUAACUUUAAUCUGGAAAUGGGCCUAGACACAUUACAAGACAUGCUUGAUAGCAAAAAGAAUUCUGCGCUGGAAGCUGAGAAACUAUCAAACUGCAGCACUCAUGAAAAUCAGCGUCAUUUAAAAUUAGAUUUUCACAAUUCUUUUGACCCAGAGGCAAAAGAUGACUGUGGUGGUGUAUCUUCACCUCAGACAAGUCAGAUAGAUCAUACCCCUUCAGAGUCUCCAUCCAGAACUGAAUCAGUUGAUACUAAUGAAGCUGAUGAGUGCAUUAAUGAGAGCAAUCCUUCAAGUCCUGCAUCUGAUAUUGCAGAGAAUGCUUCAUUGAAUGGUUAUGGAUUGAAUCACUGUGUAGCUGAUUCUGACAUGGAUGAUACAAAUAUGGAAGUUGUUCUUCAUCCUGAUUAUGUUAUAUACCGGGAUAAUUAUUGCAUGGGGUUGAAGUUAACCUUUUCACAAUAUUGUAUUCAAAUCAAUGAUUCAACGGCAUGUGAAAAGGAAGGGACCAUUAAUAUUGAAUGGGCGGUUGAGGAUCUCAUUGACAUUAAGAGUCAAUCAUUUCAAAGUACUGGAAUGGUUUUGAUGACCCUUCGUUUAGUAUCGAGUGAUACAGUUCAGUCAAAUAAUGUUAGCUGCACUUCAGGGAUUGAUGAAUUGAAGAUUGCUAUUGUUGAUCACAAUUGGUCCUUCAGGCAUAAGCAGAUCACAUCUCUUAAUGAGAAAUACCUAGCUAUGUGGAGUACUUUGCUUGAUAUGGAUGUGGAAGGUGAUGAAAAUCUUUCGCCGGCACCAAGAUGCUACUUCCCAAAUUUCCAGCAGCCUUUUGAUGAAGUUGUCUAUCCUAAAGGGGAUCCAGAUGCUGUUUCCCUAAGUAAGAGAGAUGUUGAUCUAUUACAACCAGACACAUUCGUCAAUGACACAGUUAUUGAUUUUUACAUUCAAUUUCUGAAGAAUAAGAUACAAGAGGAGGAAAAGUCUAGAUUCCAUUUUUUUAAUAGUUUUUUCUUUCGAAAGCUUGCUGAUAUGGACAAAAAUCCAUCUAGUGCUUCUGACGGCAAAGCAGCAUUUCUACGUGUUCGUAAAUGGACAAGAAAAGUGAACUUAUUUGAAAAGGACUAUAUUUUCAUACCUGUGAACUUCAAUCUUCACUGGAGUUUAAUAGUCAUUUGUCAUCCCGGCGAAGUGGUUAGUUUCAAUGGUGAGUUGUUGGCUUGUUCACUUUCUAAUAUAUACUAUAAACAUCUGUAUGACUGUAUUCUCACAGAUAUUAUGAUUUUCAGAUAAAGAGCCAGACAAGUCACUUAGGGUACCCUGUAUAUUGCAUAUGGAUUCUAUCAAAGGACUUCAUAGUGGUUUGAAAAACCUUGUACAAAGUUAUUUGUCGGAAGAAUGGAAAGAGAGGAAGAAGGAUGCAUGUGCUGAAGACCUUUCAUCAAGAUUCUUGAAUAUGCGUUUUGUCCCCGUCAUGUUACCGCAGCAAGAAAACUCUUAUGAUUGCGGCCUCUUUUUACUUCAUUAUCUGGAGCUCUUCCUUGCUGAAGCCCCUUUUAAUUUCAAUCCAUUCAAACUAACCAAGUUCUCCAACUUUCUCAAUUCGGACUGGUUUCCACCUGCGGAGGCUUAUCUAAAGCGAACUCUUAUUCAGAGGUUAAUCUUUGAACUUGUGGAAAACCAUGGUUCACAUGGAGGCUUUUCCUCUGAUUACAGUGAUGACCACCACCACUCAGAAAAUAAUGACAACAGGACUGACGUUAAUUGUCAUGUACUAAAUGGGGAGGCGUCAACGUCCCAUUCUGGACACGGAAUAGAAAUCACUCUAUUGUCAGCAUCUUCACCUGUAAAUCCUCAAUCUUUCAACACUUCAGGCAUGGUUCUUAAGGAGCUUUUUGGACCAGGAACUACAGCAGGAACAACUUUACUUGGACAAUGUCAAUCUAUUGACCAGCAAUCAUCUGACCUUGGUCCGAAUGGUUCAAUAUUUACAAUGGAGGGAAACGUAGAUUUCAGUGAGCACCUUAUGUAUACAACUACAGAUCCCAACUUUCAGCAAAUCACUGGAAUUUCGCCACUACCAUGUUCGUUGCCAUACUUACCCAAGGCUCAUGGAAAUGAGAUUUCUCAUGUACCACGAACUUCUCUACAAGCAGAGCACAACACCGAAUCAUCUCUAGAUACAAGUUGUGCAUCAGAUGAUUCAGAUGACAUCGGGGUAAUUGAAAAUUGCGAAAUUCGACAUGAAGCAAGUUCAUUGUAUGAAGAUGAUCAAGGUGACAAAAAUUGUACAUCCAUAAAAAACGUUGAGCAUUUGUCAGAUAUUACUGUUUCUGCUGCUAUCAACUUGCCAAUUGAUUCCCUCGUGGAGAUUUCUCAACACUCUAAUGUGUGUGCUGGCAUCAAGAAUGGAGAUCAACACCCGUCCUGCCUAGAGACACCAACAAUACAAUUGGAUGAAGUUUCUGAUGCAAUAGAUGAUAGCAGAACACCAACAGUACAAUCGCAUCAAGUUUCAGAUGUAGUAGAUGAUGAAAUCACACGAGAUGAUGUUCAGAUGAUGGACCACUCGGAACCUGAUAAUUGUGAGGAACCAGCUGUAAAGAAGAGGCGGCUUACGCCGAUGCAAGGCGAAAAUGAUGGAGUCCUGACCAAAUCUAAUUUAUAGAUGGCUUCUUUUACCUUAUAUAGUGUUAAAUGAUUUCUAGGUUUUGAUUCUCCAACUUGUAAAUAGUGACUGUAGUAUUGAUUACUUCUAAAAAAUCCCUAGUGAACUAUUCUAUAAGGUUAAGUUCAUUGGCAAAGCAACAUAUUGGUUUUCUAUCUAACACAUCCCUUCAUGAAAGAGUAGUUGAAGAGGACAUCAAUGGUUAAAAAUCUGAUUUGGUCA